AACGAACGCUGGCGGCAGGCUUAACACAUGCAAGUCGAGCGCCCCGCAAGGGGAGCGGCAGACGGGUGAGUAACGCGUGGGAAUCUACCCAUCUCUACGGAAUAACGCAUGGAAACGUGUGCUAAUACCGUAUACGUCCUUCGGGAGAAAGAUUUAUCGGAGGAUGGAUGAGCCCGCGUUGGAUUAGCUAGUUGGUGGGGUAAAGGCCUACCAAGGCGACGAUCCAUAGCUGGUCUGAGAGGAUGAUCAGCCACACGGGGACUGAGACACGGCCCGGACUCCUGCGGGAGGCAGCAGUGGGGAAUAUUGGACACGGGGCGCAAGCCUGAUCCAGCCAUGCCGCGUGAGUGAUGAAGGCCCUAGGGUUGUAAAGCUCUUCCACCGGUGAAGAUAAUGACGGUAACCGGAGAAGAAGCCCCGGCUAACUUCGUGCCAGCCGCCGCGGUAACAC
rnacentral:rRNA from 1 species